CACGCCCCGCACGCGCGCCCCGUGCCUCUGCCCUCAGGUCACGAGGCGCGGGAGCCGCGAGGGCGGACGGCGCUCGCCGCAAGUUUGCAGAGGAGCCCCCGCAGCGGCUGCGGGCGAGGCGCCGGUGCGGAGCCGCCUCCCCGGGCGAGGCGCACUGCUGCUCCGGGUCGGUCCGCCCAGGCGCGAGCACGCAGACACACUCGCACACACUGGCUGGCACCGCCACAACCCGCCAGCCGGUGUGACAGGAGCCCUGCUACCCGCAGCAAAAACCUGCCCUAGGUACGGAGCAUGCGCCAAAGCUUUCCACAGCCCCGGAGGAGUUUCCAGGGGAGGAGUCCGCUGCUCCGCGGGGCUCGGAGGAGGCAGCCGGGGGUGAGAAUCCCUUCAGCCUAGAGCCAGGAGAGAUCUGGGGGAAAGGCAAAGGCGGAGCGAGGAGAGGACGCCAGGAGAUCUUCGCUGGCGCUGGCCCGAGACCUCCAAAUCGGCAGCUUUCUCAAUCUGAGAGCGGACAGAAAUCUGGCCAGCCUAUUCGCAGGGAUAACACCUGCCUAUCGCUGGGCAGACUCACCUAGACUGGACUUUACAGGAGUUGGCUAGCCUCUUGGUGGCAGCGGGUAAUGAAAUCAUCAAAUUGGAGUAACUGCCCCUCUACAAUCCCUGGACUUGCUUGACUCAAACGGAGAGUGGCAGUGUACUGAAGGCAGACACCAUGCAGUUUGAUUCCCUCCUGGCUGCUCUGCCAGUCCUGGUCUCCUACACCUGACAUCCAUACCUUCAUAACUUCCAGGCUUCCUUCUUGGCCUGUUUAUGGAUCUAUGAGGUUUUUCUCUCCACUAAUGUAUAAAGACCCUGAAAGAAGAGGCAUAUUUAUACUUGGUGACCCCAGUACUCAGCAUAGUCUUGGUCUACUCUGCUGCCUGUAAAUUCUUUAUCCUGCUCUACAUGAACUAUUUCAAUCAUCUUUCUCCUGGUUUUGGGGGCUCAAGUUGUUCUUCCUGCUGCUGCAGGAUAACCUUUCUAAAACAUACAUCUGAUAACCCACUCUCAAAACUGGCCUAAAAUUAUGUUCAAACCCAAAUACAACUUCCACAAAUGACAAAUGCUGGAGAGGCUGUGGAGAAAAGGGAACCC